CCUACGGGAGACAGCAGUGGGGAAUAUUGCACAAUGGGGGAAACCCUGAUGCAGCAACGCCGCGUGAGUGAAGAAGUAUUUCGGUAUGUAAAGCUCUAUCAGCAGGGAAGAGAAUGACGGUCCCUGACUAAGAAGCACCGGCUAACUACGUGCCAGCAGCCGUGGUAAUACGGAGGGGGCAAGCGUUAUCCGGAUUUACUGGGUGUAAAGGGAGCGUAGACGGCUGUACAAGUUAGAAGUGAAAGCCCGUGGCUCAACCGCGGAACUGCUUUGGAAACUGUAAAGCUUGAGUACUGGAGAGGCAGGCGGAAUGCGUAGUGUAGCGGUGAAAUGCGUAGAUAUUAGGAGGAACACCAGUGGCGAAGGCGGCCUGCUGGACAUAAACUGACGUUGAGGCUCGAAAGCGUGGGGAGCAAACAGGAUUAGAUACCCCAGUAGUC
rnacentral:rRNA from 1 species